rnacentral:rRNA from 1 species
UACCCGCUGAACUUAAGCAUAUCAAUAAGCGGAGGAAAAGAAACCAACAGGGAUUGCCCUAGUAACGGCGAGUGAAGCGGCAACAGCUCAAAUUUGAAAUCUGGCCUCCUUUGGGGGUCCGAGUUGUAAUUUGCAGAGGGUGCUUUGGCGUCGGCAGCGGUCUAAGUUCCUUGGAACAGGACAUCACAGAGGGUGAGAAUCCCGUACGUGGUCGCCUGCCUUCGCCGUGUAAAGCCCCUUCGACGAGUCGAGUUGUUUGGGAAUGCAGCUCUAAAUGGGAGGUAAAUUUCUUCUAAAGCUAAAUACCGGCCAGAGACCGAUAGCGCACAAGUAGAGUGAUCGAAAGAUGAAAAGCACUUUGGAAAGAGAGUCAAACAGCACGUGAAAUUGUUGAAAGGGAAGCGCUUGCAGCCAGACUUGCUCGUAGUUGCUCAUCCGGGUCCGCCCGGAGCACUCUUCUGCGAGCAGGCCAGCAUCAGUUUGGGCGACCGGAUAAAGGCCUCUGUCAUGUAUCUUCCUUCGGGAUGACCUUAUAGGGGAGGCGUAAUGCGGCCAGCCCGGACUGAGGUCCGCGCUUCUGCUAGGAUGCUGGCGUAAUGGCUGUAAGCGGCCCGUCUUGAAACACGGACCAAGGAGUCUAACAUCUAUGCGAGUGUUUGGGUGUCAAGCCCGGGCGCGUAAUGAAAGUGAACGGAGGUGGGAACCCUCUCCGGGGGGUGCACCAUCGACCGAUCCUGAUGUCUUCGGAUGGAUUUGAGUAAGAGCAUAGCUGUUGGGACCCGAAAGAUGGUGAACUAUGCUUGAAUAGGGUGAAGCCAGAGGAAACUCUGGUGGAGGCUCGCAGCGGUUCUGACGUGCAAAUCGAUCGUCAAAUUUGGGCAUAGGGGCGAAAGACUAAUCGAACUAUCUAGUAGCUGGUUCCUGCCGAAGUUUCCC